rnacentral:rRNA from 1 species
AAAUUGAAGAGUUUGAUCAUGGCUCAGAUUGAACGCUGGCGGCAGGCCUAACACAUGCAAGUCGAACGGUAACAGGAAGCAGCUUGCUGCUUCGCUGACGAGUGGCGGACGGGUGAGUAAUGUCUGGGAAACUGCCUGAUGGAGGGGGAUAACUACUGGAAACGGUGGCUAAUACCGCAUAACGUCGCAAGACCAAAGAGGGGGACCUUCGGGCCUCUUGCCAUCAGAUGUGCCCAGAUGGGAUUAGCUUGUUGGUGAGGUAACGGCUCACCAAGGCGACGAUCCCUAGCUGGUCUGAGAGGAUGACCAGCCACACUGGAACUGAGACACGGUCCAGACUCCUACGGGAGGCAGCAGUGGGGAAUAUUGCACAAUGGGCGCAAGCCUGAUGCAGCCAUGCCGCGUGUAUGAAGAAGGCCUUCGGGUUGUAAAGUACUUUCAGCGGGGAGGAAGGUGUUGCGGUUAAUAACCGCAGCAAUU